rnacentral:rRNA from 1 species
GAGUUUGAUCAUGGCUCAGAUUGAACGCUGGCGGCAGGCCUAACACAUGCAAGUCGAACGGUAACAGAAAGCAGCUUGCUGCUUUGCUGACGAGUGGCGGACGGGUGAGUAAUGUCUGGGAAACUGCCUGAUGGAGGGGGAUAACUACUGGAAACGGUAGCUAAUACCGCAUAACGUCGCAAGACCAAAGAGGGGGACCUUAGGGCCUCUUGCCAUCGGAUGUGCCCAGAUGGGAUUAGCUAGUAGGUGGGGUAAAGGCUCACCUAGGCGACGAUCCCUAGCUGGUCUGAGAGGAUGACCAGCCACACUGGAACUGAGACACGGUCCAGACUCCUACGGGAGGCAGCAGUGGGGAAUAUUGCACAAUGGGCGCAAGCCUGAUGCAGCCAUGCCGCGUGUAUGAAGAAGGCCUUCGGGUUGUAAAGUACUUUCAGCGGGGAGGAAGGGAGUAAAGUUAAUACCUUUGCUCAUUGACGUUACCCGCAGAAGAAGCACCGGCUAACUCCGUGCCAGCAGCCGCGGUAAUACGGAGGGUGCAAGCGUUAAUCGGAAUUACUGGGCGUAAAGCGCACGCAGGCGGUUUGUUAAGUCAGAUGUGAAAUCCCCGGGCUCAACCUGGGAACUGCAUCUGAUACUGGCAAGCUUGAGUCUCGUAGAGGGGGGUAGAAUUCCAGGUGUAGCGGUGAAAUGCGUAGAGAUCUGGAGGAUACCGGUGGCGAAGGCGGCCCCUGGACGAAGACUGACGCUCAGGUGCGAAAGCGUGGCGAGCAACCGGAUAUAUACCCUGGUUAUCUCGCCGU